rnacentral:rRNA from 1 species
UUUGGCCCAAGUUUCUUGUCCAAGCCUGAUCUGGUCUGAUCUCUUUUGCUAAGCAGAGCUGGGUCUGGUCAGUACUUGGAUGUGAAACCUCUGGGAAUACCAGUUGCAGUUACAG